UAUCCAUUGGUUAAUAUGGAACGAGGCAGAACAAAGUCUCGUGGUAUAAAAGCUCAGGCUGUCAUUGCAGUUCAGCACAUCGUCUUCUUCGUUCGAUUUCUACUUUCUGCAGUUUCUUGGCAGCUCAGUCACAUACUCGCCAUCAUGUCUACGUCUUACCAUUUCUUGAUCUUCUUCGGUAUGGGUGUUGUGGCUGUAAUGGGCAACAAUUACAAGGCGCCUUACCAUCAACCCAAAUACGAGCCAGAGAUCCCUGCCUGUUCCAAGAACACGACCAAGAAUUGGUGCCUGGAAGAUUCCGAAUAUCCAGCCUAUGAAGUCGUUUACGAGCUGGACAAACAUUAUGAAGCCGUUGUGGCUCUGUACAAGAACGUCGUCGCCGAAACGGCCAACUCGGUCGAUACCCUCAGCAAAUUGGAACAGGAGACUUACCUUUGCCCCAGCGAAACUUCUUACGUCCAGCCGCUACGUGCAGUCAACACCAAAGGCAAAUGGCGUGUCAUCAUCAACAAAGUCGAAUCUUAUGGCAUCAAAUACGAUCAACAUGCCCGCAUUGAAGAAUGUGAAGAUGAUGCUGCUGGAAAGGCCUGCCCAUUGGUGCCCACCUGUUACGAGUCGAAAUGCCUUGCAAAAGAGCAUUUACCACCGUUUCCUCGUCUACGAUCCCACCGAUUAUUAUUUCCCAUUCGCCAUUGAAACUUUCAAAUUGCCCGCAUCUUGCGCCUGUUUCGUUGGAGCUUUCAAACUCUAAAAGACUUCUACCAUCUUCCUCUAUCUUUCCCUUUCCUACUUCUUUUCCAACCAAAGUUCGGUCCAAACGAUCCCUGUGAUAUUUUUUGUAAAACAUCUCUGCGCUCCACAGUCGACUCUUCGUGAACAAAUGAAAGACUCACGGUGAAGCGCAAAGGUUGGCGGUACCAUCAACAACGAAAGACGAAACAUCGAAAUGAAAGCAGUCCCUCAUCACCACCACAACAACAACGUGGCUUAUUUAAUAAUUAAAUAUAUUUUCUGAUAAAAUGUUUGUAUGCUUAAAUCCUCGUGUGUUGCUCCCUCACGACAUUACGUCCUCGGCAAAUAAUAAAAUAGUCUUAUACCCAA